AGUGGAAAUCUACCUGGCAAGCUGCUGAAGUAUGUUCUGCACCCAACAGAUACCAGAGCUGGUGUCUGGCUUAUGUCUGCAUUAUUGCCCAUAAUACAUGGCCAACCAGAUAAUACUGAAAAGCAAGCAUUGUUUUCACAGAAAAUGAGAAUACUUUCUGACUGAGAAGAUAAGCUAAAGAAACUGUUUCCCUGGCUAAAGAAUGUAUGAAAACAGAGUAUGGCCAGAUCCUGAGAUGAGACAGGAUGGAAGAAAUGGUGUUCCUCCUGCUCCCCAGACACUGCCCAGCAGAGCAGAUUUGUGAGAAGUCCUCUGCCAGCAAACGCAAAUAUUCUGUGUAACUAGGUCUUCCUUUUGAAAGGUCUCCUCUGACCUGCAUAUGUGGGAAGAGUACGCUGUGUCCAGGCAUGCCAGUGUGCCUCCUUUACACACAUGCCAUCUUACAGGAAAACAUUUUGUAACCACGUCUUUUAGGAGAUACAAUCCCAUCUGACUGUGAAGGACCUGCACUAUGCUGCCUUAUGUUGUCAGCCCUGCAAAGUAACCACAUUUUGCUGUCCUUGUUUCUUCCUCAGCCCCCUCACUUUGCAAGUUUUAUUUUCUAUGUGGAAAGAUAAACUCUGUGAGAUGAACAAGUUCUCAAACUUCAGGCGUCUCUGAAAGUAAUAGGAUCUGCAUCAUUGGGGGACUUCUAGGUACUACAUUAAUGAUAAUAAAAAAGCAUUCUUCCUGGUCUUGACUGCUAGAGAGCUUGUCAGCUCUCUGAGAGUUUUUAAUGGACAAAAAUAAUAAAGCCUGAAUAAUGUUAGGUGAUAUGUGAUUAGUCUGCUGCAUUUUGCUGUAUCAUACUUGCAAUCAAAGCAUUAAAAGUUUCAAAAAUUCAAUUUUAAA